CCGCAUAUUCUGUGAGCAGGAAAGCAGGGGACCGCAAGGCCUUGCGCUCUUUGAGCGGCCGAUGUCAGAUUAGCUAGUUGGUGAGGUAAAGGCUUACCAAGGCGACGAUCUGUAGCGGGUCUGAGAGGAUGAUCCGCCACACUGGAACUGAGACACGGUCCAGACUCCUACGGGAGGCAGCAGUGGGGAAUUUUGGACAAUGGGCGCAAGCCUGAUCCAGCCAUGCCGCGUGAGUGAAGAAGGCCUUCGGGUUGUAAAGCUCUUUCGGCCGGGAAGAAAUCGCAUGGGUUAAUACCCUGUGAGGAUGACGGUACCGGAAUAAGAAGCACCGGCUAACUACGUGCCAGCAGCCGCGGUAAUACGUAGGGUGCGAGCGUUAAUCGGAAUUACUGGGCGUAAAGCGUGCGCAGGCGGUUUUGUAAGACAGGCGUGAAAUCCCCGGGCUUAACCUGGGAACUGCGUUUGUGACUGCAAGGCUAGAGUACGGCAGAGGGGGGUGGAAUUCCACGUGUAGCAGUGAAAUGCGUAGAGAUGUGGAGGAACACCAAUGGCGAAGGCAGCCCCCUGGGUCGAUACUGACGCUCAUGCACGAAAGCGUGGGUAGCAAACAGGAUUAGAUACCCUGGUAGUCCACGCCCUAAACUAUGUCAACUAGGUGUUGGGUGGGUAAAACCAUUUAGUACCGUAGCUAACGCGUGAAGUUGACCGCCUGGGGAGUACGGCCGCAAGGUUAAAACUCAAAGGAAUUGACGGGGACCCGCACAAGCGGUGGAUGAUGUGGAUUAAUUCGAUGCAACGCGAAAAACCUUACCUACCCUUGACAUGCCAGGAACUUGCCAGAGAUGGCUUGGUGCCCGAAAGGGAGCCUGGACACAGGUGCUGCAUGGCUGUCGUCAGCUCGUGUCGUGAGAUGUUGGGUUAAGUCCCGCAACGAGCGCAACCCUUGUCGUUAAUUGCCAUCAUUUAGUUGGGCACUUUAACGAGACUGCCGGUGACAAACCGGAGGAAGGUGGGGAUGACGUCAAGUCCUCAUGGCCCUUAUGGGUAGGGCUUCACACGUCAUACAAUGGUCGGUACAAAGGGUUGCCAAGCCGCGAGGCGAAGCCAAUCCCAGAAAGCCGAUCGUAGUCCGGAUUGCAGGCUGCAACUCGCCUGCAUGAAGUCGGAAUCGCUAGUAAUCGUGGAUCAGCAUGUCACGGUGAAUACGUUCCCGGGUCUUGUACACACCGCCCGUCACACCAUGGGAGCGGGUUCCGCCAGAAGUAGGUAGCCUAACCGCAAGGGGGGCGCUUACCACGGCGGGGUUCGUGACUGGGGUGAAGUCGGAACAAGGUA
rnacentral:rRNA from 1 species